rnacentral:lncRNA from 1 species
AACAUCAAGUUCUAAUUUUAGAAAUAUAGUGUUACUCUUGUCAAUGUAGAUUUUCCCUUAAUUAACACUGAGUAUGAGUUUAUUUCAUGCUGUGAACAUUAAUCAUUUCUCCACACUGGUCUAUCAUUUAGAGAAUUCUGCAAGAAGAGAUGAUGAUCUGCAGCAUAGAGACUAUUGACAUCAUGAGCAUGUGAAAAAAGAGAAAAGAUACACAAAGAAAGGAAAUCUAUAAAGUUCGUUUUGAAAGCACAGCAAAAACUUGGCAAUGGGGACAUUGCAUUUAUUACUUAAGAUCUUUGGACCAACCGAGGAUUUACUAGACAUUACACCACACUGGAGAAGAGCAAUAUUCUAUUCACUUGGAGAUUUUCCUCUCAUGGAAAUUGUUUGUCCGCUUUAAUUUUGAAAUGAAUACAUGAAUCACCUGGUAAGACUAUGAUUAAAACAUCUACCCUCUAUUCCUGUAUCUGUGUGUGUUAUCACCUAACUUAAAACCUUCUGCAUGUAGCGUUCUAUGGCCUUUGUUUUGGCAAAAUAUUGAAACAGUUUUAGAGAAACAUAUUUUUCUUAUGUUUCUACUUUGACUUUGGCUUCACUUCUCACUGCACACGAUGGAGGUAUGGAGAGAUUCUGCUCCCUUUAUGACAAAAUUU